UGAGCAAAAAUCCCAGAACCACACGGGGGGACCUAGUGAAUGACCUGCAGAGAGCUGGGACCAAAGUAACAAAGCCUACCAUCAGCAAGGGCAUUGAAGAUGAAACGUGGCUGGGUCUUUCAGCAUGACAAUGAUCCCAAACACACCGCCCUUGGCAAUGAAGGAGUGGCUUCGUAAGAAGCAUUUCAAAGUCCUGGAGUGGCCUAGCCAAUCUCCAGAUCUCAACCCCAUAGAAAAUCUUUGGAGGGAGUUAAAAGUCUGUGUUGCCCAGCAACAGCCCCAAAACAUCACUGCUCUAGUGAAGAUCUGCAUGGAGGAAUGGGCCAAAAUAUCAGCAACAGUGUGUGAAAACCUUGUGAAGACUUACAGAAAACGUUUGACCUCUGUCAUUGCCAACAAAGGGUAUAUAACAAAGUAUUGAGAUAAACUUUUGUUAUUGACCAAAUACUUAUUUUCCACCAUAAUUUGCAAAUAAAUUCAUAAAAAAUCCUACAAUGUGAUUUUUUCUCAUUUUGUCUGUCAUAGUUGAAGUGUACCUAUGAUGUAAAUUACAGGCCUCUCUCAUCUUUUUAAGUGGGAGAACAUGCACAAUUGGUGGCUGACUAAAUACUUUUUUGCCCCACUAUAUAUCCCUGUUAAAUGUAAUACUAUUUAAAUAAAAAAACUUCUAAUAGUCAAACAAAGCCAAAACAAAUGCUAACCAUAUCAAAUCCUUCCUAUGCUAAUAAGCUCUUUCCUUCAGGGCUCCACAGUAUUUUAUCUGACAAUAACAUGAGUUAAUAAAUUCUGGUUUUGCAAGCCGAAGGGUUAUUAAGGGUGGGAUAUAGUAAGUUCUGUUAGAUAGGACAGUUGUUUUGCACAAAUAGGAUAGCCAUUAAUUCAAAAGACAUACCUAAAUAAAGUUUUAACCUAAGUAGUCUGUCUACCUGUAUAUAGGAAGUAGUCUGACUAUGAAAAGUAGCAGAUAGAUAUAUUAAAACAGGUGAGGAUAAAUUAGGCUUGGUGAGAAGGCAGGGUAAUCCUAGGCGAACGGAAUGACUGAACCUAUUCAAUACUGAAAGAAAUAAUAUCCAAAAGAGUGGGAGGGACACUUAAAAUAGCAAAGUGAGAUUUGGAUAAAUACAACCCGAGUUUAACCAGGGAUGUAGGUCCCCUGGGUAAUAACUGAUAGAUGUGGAAGUGAGAUCUAAUGUCCAGUCGAUAGCAACGCUAUAGAUACGUUUCCAGGGAAGAGAAUCGCAUAAAUCCAUACACAUAGAUUGUAACUAGGUAACGGUAAACAGCACAUACAUAGAUCAUAGAAAUAUAUACACUUAGAUUGUGACAGUGUAGAAAGAGAGGAUCUGAAUCCCCUAAUGGAAUUACCCAAUCCCCAGGCGGGGGAGGGUGAUCAUGACAGUGGAGCGCGGGACCUGUGGAGCCAUUCAGAGCAAAAAUGACAGAAUGUGCUAAACUAACGGAACAUUACCACCGACACGCAAACUUGUCUAAGGUAACUGAAUACAGACAGGGAGAAAGUGAGACAGUCAGUCAGUACCUAGAACGUUUAAAAUAUGUAUUCAAUGCUAACAGUGGUACGCUAGAAGCAGCCCCCGGGGGUGAUCAAAAUACCCCUUAUCAUGAGUAACUAAAAAUAGCCUUUGGAACUGGAAUGCGCGUUGAAAUCUGUAAGGAGGUGAAAAAUAAUUUAGUGGGGUGGGGGUUGGCAACUCUAGCGGAGGUAAAAAGAUAUGCUGUCCACCAUGAACAGCACGGAGAGGCAGUCAAAAGAAAAAUAUCAAAUGUUUUAAUUGUAACAAAACUGGACAUUUCGCCCGGAAGUGUAACACUCCCUGCAAACGUCACCACCGAGAUUGUAAUUUAACUGAGGGGGAGAAUCUUGGUAAUGUACAUAGCAUUGGUGGUUCAGUGGUGAGUGUCAGCCAUUGCGCUAACUGAAAUGAUCUGAGCCCUAAGACCAUGCGUCAGGACUACCUGGCAUGAUGACUCCUUGCUGUCCCCAGUCCACCUGGCCUUGCUGCUGUUCCAGUUUCAACUGUUCUGCCUGCGGCUAUGGAACCCUAAACUGUUCAUUUUUACUCUCGAGGUGCUGUCCUGUUGCACCCUCUACAACCACUGUGAUCUCCACCCGGCACAGCCAGAAGAGGACUGGCCACCCCUCAUAGCCUGGUUCCUCUCUAGUUUUCUUCCUAGGUUCUUGCCUUUCUAGGGAGUUUUUCCUAGCCACCGUGCUUCUACACCUGCAUUGCUUGCUGUUUGGGGUUUUAGGCUAUAUAAAUUGAUUUGAUUUGAUAGAGGACUGAGGGUCUUCCAAAUAUUGAAAGUGUGUAAAUAGUUACCCAUGUUAUUUUGUAAAUGUAUAUAUAUUUUUUUUUCAUAUUUUUUUUAUCAAUAAUUACAUGUUUUCCCCCAACAACAACAAAAAAUCAUUUUUUUCCCUCAUUUUUUUUUUUUUUUUUUUUUGGGGGGGGGGGGGUGUGUUAGAAUACCAUUUUGGUAUUUUGUAUAUAGUUAUUUGUUUCAAAAUGUAUACCUUCACCAAUUUGGCCACUUGAGUACAUUUGGGCUACUUGUGUGGGACACCUGGGUGACUUCAUGAUAAAUGUCAUGUAGCACACUCAUUUUGUUAGUUAUCAUUCUGAAACUUUGCACAAGCACUGUUGCCCUCUUAUGUUUUUCACUGAAAUUGUCCCCAUCAUCAUAUCUGAAUGUUUGUUUUACCUUGUUCAUUUUAAAGAUGAACAAACCUACCCUAGUUAAACUGACUAUCCUACCGAUCCUCGACUUCGGCAAUGUCAUCUACAAAAUAGCUUCCAAUACUCUACUCAGCAAACUGGAUGCAGUUUAUCACAGUGCCAUCUGUUUUGUUACUAAAGCACCUUAUACCACCCACCACUGCGACCUGUAUGCUCUAGUCGGCUGGCCCUCGCUACAUAUUCGUCGCCAGACCCACUGGCUCCAGGUCAUCUACAAGUCCAUGCUAGGUAAAGCUCCACCUUAUCUCAGUUCACUCGUCACGAUGGCAACACCCAUCCGUAGCACGCGCUCCAGCAGGUGUAUCUGACUGAUCAUCCCUAAAGCCAACACCUCAUUUGGCCGCCUUUCGUUCCAGUUCUCUGCUGCCUGUGACUGGAACGAAUUGCAAAAAUCGCGGAAGUUGGAGACUUUUAUCUCCCUCACCAACUUCAAACAUCUGCUAUCUGAGCAGCUAACCGAUCGCUGCAGCUGUACAUAGUCUAUCGGUAAAUAGCCCACCCAUUUUUACCUACCUCAUCCCCAUACUGUUUAUAUUCAUUUACUUUUCUGCUCUUUUGCACACUAAUAUCUCUCUACCUGUACAUGACCAUCUGAUAUAUUAUCACUCCAGUGUUAAUUUGCAAAAUUGUAAUUAUUCGCCUACCUCCUCAUGCCUUUUGCACACAAUGUAUAUCGACUAUUUUCUUUCUACUGUGUUAUUGACUUGUUAAUUGUUUACUCCAUGUGUAACUCUGUGUUGUCUGUUCACACUGCUAUGCUUUAUCUUGGCCAGGUCGCAGUUGCAAAUGAGAACUUGUUCUCAACCAGCCUACCUGGUUAAAUAAGGGUGAAAUAAAAAUACAAAUAAAAUAAAUAAAUAAAAAAAACGUAUGUUUUUUUCCAUUGUUUUAUCUAAA